rnacentral:rRNA from 1 species
UUAAGCGACUAAGCGUACACGGUGGAUGCCCUGGCAGUCAGAGGCGAUGAAGGACGUGCUAAUCUGCGAUAAGCGUCGGUAAGGUGAUAUGAACCGUUAUAACCGGCGAUUUCCGAAUGGGGAAACCCAGUGUGAUUCGUCACACUAUCAUUAACUGAAUCCAUAGGUUAAUGAGGCGAACCGGGGGAACUGAAACAUCUAAGUACCCCGAGGAAAAGAAAUCAACCGAGAUUCCCCCAGUAGCGGCGAGCGAACGGGGAGCAGCCCAGAGCCUGAAUCAGUGUGUGUGUUAGUGGAAGCGUCUGGAAAGGCGCGCGAUACAGGGUGACAGCCCCGUACACAAAAAUGCACAUGCUGUGAGCUCGAUGAGUAGGGCGGGACACGUGGUAUCCUGUCUGAAUAUGGGGGGACCAUCCUCCAAGGCUAAAUACUCCUGACUGACCGAUAGUGAACCAGUACCGUGAGGGAAAGGCGAAAAGAACCCCGGCGAGGGGAGUGAAAAAGAACCUGAAACCGUGUACGUACAAGCAGUGGGAGCACAGAGCAAUCUGUGUGACUGCGUACCUUUUGUAUAAUGGGUCAGCGACUUAUAUUCUGUAGCAAGGUUAACCGAAUAGGGGAGCCGAAGGGAAACCGAGUCUUAACUGGGCGUUAAGUUGCAGGGUAUAGACCCGAAACCCGGUGAUCUAGCCAUGGGCAGGUUGAAGGUUGGGUAACACUAACUGGAGGACCGAACCGACUAAUGUUGAAAAAUUAGCGGAUGACUUGUGGCUGGGGGUGAAAGGCCAAUCAAACCGGGAGAUAGCUGGUUCUCCCCGAAAGCUAUUUAGGUAGCGCCUCGUGAAUUCAUCUCCGGGGGUAGAGCACUGUUUCGGCAAGGGGGUCAUCCCGACUUACCAACCCGAUGCAAACUGCGAAUACCGGAGAAUGUUAUCACGGGAGACACACGGCGGGUGCUAACGUCCGUCGUGAAGAGGGAAACAACCCAGACCGCCAGCUAAGGUCCCAAAGUCAUGGUUAAGUGGGAAACGAUGUGGGAAGGCCCAGACAGCCAGGAUGUUGGCUUAGAAGCAGCCAUCAUUUAAAGAAAGCGUAAUAGCUCACUGGUCGAGUCGGCCUGCGCGGAAGAUGUAACGGGGCUAAACCAUGCACCGAAGCUGCGGCAGCGACGCUGAUGCGUUGUUGGGUAGGGGAGCGUUCUGUAAGCCUGCGAAGGUGUGCUGUGAGGCAUGCUGGAGGUAUCAGAAGUGCGAAUGCUGACAUAAGUAACGAUAAAGCGGGUGAAAAGCCCGCUCGCCGGAAGACCAAGGGUUCCUGUCCAACGUUAAUCGGGGCAGGGUGAGUCGACCCCUAAGGCGAGGCCGAAAGGCGUAGUCGAUGGGAAACAGGUUAAUAUUCCUGUACUUGGUGUUACUGCGAAGGGGGGACGGAGAAGGCUAUGUUGGCCGGGCGACGGUUGUCCCGGUUUAAGCGUGUAGGCUGGUUUUCCAGGCAAAUCCGGAAAAUCAAGGCUGAGGCGUGAUGACGAGGCACUACGGUGCUGAAGCAACAAAUGCCCUGCUUCCAGGAAAAGCCUCUAAGCAUCAGGUAACAUCAAAUCGUACCCCAAACCGACACAGGUGGUCAGGUAGAGAAUACCAAGGCGCUUGAGAGAACUCGGGUGAAGGAACUAGGCAAAAUGGUGCCGUAACUUCGGGAGAAGGCACGCUGAUAUGUAGGUGAAGUCCCUCGCGGAUGGAGCUGAAAUCAGUCGAAGAUACCAGCUGGCUGCAACUGUUUAUUAAAAACACAGCACUGUGCAAACACGAAAGUGGACGUAUACGGUGUGACGCCUGCCCGGUGCCGGAAGGUUAAUUGAUGGGGUCAGCGCAAGCGAAGCUCUUGAUCGAAGCCCCGGUAAACGGCGGCCGUAACUAUAACGGUCCUAAGGUAGCGAAAUUCCUUGUCGGGUAAGUUCCGACCUGCACGAAUGGCGUAAUGAUGGCCAGGCUGUCUCCACCCGAGACUCAGUGAAAUUGAACUCGCUGUGAAGAUGCAGUGUACCCGCGGCAAGACGGAAAGACCCCGUGAACCUUUACUAUAGCUUGACACUGAACAUUGAGCCUUGAUGUGUAGGAUAGGUGGGAGGCUUUGAAGUGUGGACGCCAGUCUGCAUGGAGCCGGCCUUGAAAUACCACCCUUUAAUGUUUGAUGUUCUAACGUUGACCCGUAAUCCGGGUUGCGGACAGUGUCUGGUGGGUAGUUUGACUGGGGCGGUCUCCUCCUAAAGAGUAACGGAGGAGCACGAAGGUUGGCUAAUCCUGGUCGGACAUCAGGAGGUUAGUGCAAUGGCAUAAGCCAGCUUGACUGCGAGCGUGACGGCGCGAGCAGGUGCGAAAGCAGGUCAUAGUGAUCCGGUGGUUCUGAAUGGAAGGGCCAUCGCUCAACGGAUAAAAAGGUACUCCGGGGAUAACAGGCUGAUACCGCCCAAGAGUUCAUAUCGACGGCGGUGUUUGGCACCUCGAUGUCGGCUCAUCACAUCCUGGGGCUGAAGUAGGUCCCAAGGGUAUGGCUGUUCGCCAUUUAAAGUGGUACGCGAGCUGGGUUUAGAACGUCGUGAGACAGUUCGGUCCCUAUCUGCCGUGGGCGCUGGAGAACUGAGGGGGGCUGCUCCUAGUACGAGAGGACCGGAGUGGACGCAUCACUGGUGUUCGGGUUGUCAUGCCAAUGGCACUGCCCGGUAGCUAAAUGCGGAAGAGAUAAGUGCUGAAAGCAUCUAAGCACGAAACUUGCCCCGAGAUGAGUUCUCCCUGACUCCUUGAGAGUCCUGAAGGAACGUUGAAGACGACGACGUUGAUAGGUCGGGUGUGUAAGCGCAGCGAUGCGUUGAGCUAACCGGUACUAAUGAACCGUGAGGCUUAACCUU